rnacentral:RNase_P_RNA from 1 species
GGUAGGAAUGCACCAACUUUCGGCUUACGCUGAGGAAAGUCCGCCCACCAUUAUCGGUCGCUUAUCAAGUUCCAGAAAUGGAAGGCAACCGUACAGAAACGACACGGCCUUAAAGAUGCUAGGAUGCGGUGAAGUGUUUGGCAACAAACAUGAGUUAACCCGUUGAGUUGGCUUUAAGGAUGCGAUGAAACGUGUGCGCCCCGACCGGUGCAAGCAUUUUCGCGCUUAGUAGAAUGUUGGAAGCCUUGUUGCUUACGCAAAGGCUACAAAAGGCGGCUUAUGCAUUUCUACC